rnacentral:ncRNA from 3 species
UACGUAGAUGGCAAGCGUUGUCCGGAUUUAUUGGGCGUAAAGCGAGCGCAGGCGGUUCUUUAAGUCUGAUGUGAAAGCCCCUGGCUCAACCAGGGAGGGUCAUUGGAAACUGGAGAACUUGAGUGCAGAAGAGGAAAGUGGAAUUCCAUGUGUAGCGGUGAAAUGCGUAGAUAUAUGGAGGAACACCAGUGGCGAAGGCGACUUUCUGGUCUGUAACUGACGCUGAGGCUCGAAAGCAUGGGGAGCAAACAGG